rnacentral:lncRNA from 1 species
GGGUACCACCGUGAUCAGCAGAACGCCUCCUCUGGAGCCUAUACAAUAUCCCUGUAUUAUUGCUAUGAGAGCAAUGAUUGCUUUCUGCACCUUCUGAGGACAGCACAUAAUAGGCAGUAUCAAAGCAAUAUGAUGGGGGAAUGAUGAUUUCAUUCAUGUUUAUAAAACUGCUUAUUUGUGAGCAAGCAAUCGUUUGUGUCUUCCAGAAGAGAGUAACCAACAUCAGGGUAAUUUCUGGGAAAUUAGAAGAGAAGGACUGAAGAACUUAGGGGAUCAGAGGAGACCUGGAGACCCCAGGUGGAAGAGAGCAGGUGAUGCCAGCUUUGGAGAAUUAAAAAAAGUAUAAAAUUUCAUCAGGAACUGGAAGAAUAAACAGAUUAAAAAUGAACA